rnacentral:lncRNA from 1 species
CCGCCCCCGCCUCCACCCAGGUGGCCGUCAAGGUCGCCAUGAGGCGCCUAUGACAGAACGUAGGGCCGCGGGGUGAGCGUUCGUGAGGACGCGCGCAGGCUGCGCCCGAGUGGGGAAUAAAGACUUCCGUGUCCCUGUCCUCUGGUGUCGCCGCUGAGAGGCGACCGCCGUGCUGAAGCCACGGAAAACACCGGGACCCUGACGAGGGCGGGCGGGGAGGGAAGAAGUGCUUCUUCCCUCCUCUCCGGUUCCCUCACCGCGGGCGGCCUUGUACACCCUGAGUUCAGUGGGCUGUGCGUCAGGAUUGAGGCUUUCUUGGAUUUUGGCUGUCCACGUCACUCAGAAAACAGGCAGGGGCCUCUUUGUGAACAUGAGAUCAGCCUACUGUGGGGAGCUCCAGGCCAGCCAGAACUACAAACAAGACCUAGAGGACAUGUAACCAUAAAGAGACUCAACACUCAGGAGGCAGAGGCAGGCAGACCUCUGUGAGUCUGAGUCCAGCCUGGUCUACAAAGCAAGUACCCUGACAGCCAGAACUACAAAGAGAAACCUUGUCUGGAAGAAGAGGAGGGGCAGGUGAGGGGAUGGGAGGUUGGGGGGAGACUUGCUUUCUCUCUCAGACUUUAUAGACUGCCUAAGAUCCGGGAUAGCUCCAACUGAAAACCUACACUUCCCAACUUCCCACCCAGUAAGGGGCCCUAGUCCUUCCUGCAGGCAUUUUGACCAUGGGGUGGAGGCAGACAGAGGUGGCCCUUACCAUGAAUGAGGAUGGUCUUGCCCUCUGUUCUCUUUAGAGCUGUCCUUAACAAUCCUGUCCUGGGAUGACAAAUCAAGGACAACCUGUGACACCUAGUGAAAGCCUAUGAAAAGGACAAAAGGGGAGCUGGAGAGAAGGUAGUUAAGGUCACUGACUGCUCUUGCAGGGGACUGGGUUUUGAUUCCCAGACUUCAUAUACAAACUAGAGUUUGAGAGGAUCUCUAGCCCAGUGGUGGAGGCGCACACCUUUAAUCCCAGCAGUACACCCCUAUUCCCGAGGCAGAUCUCUGUAAGUUCAAAGCCAGCCUGGUCUACAGAGAUAGUUCCAGGACAGCCUCCAAAGCCACAGAGAAAUCCUGUCUCAAAUAAAUAAUAAGUAUGCUGGAUCUGUAUAUGCUAUGGUUUAAUCUACAGUAC